GUCAUGGUGUGAAUCACUGUGAUACCCACUCUUUAGCAGAGUCAUCCCAUGUGUUACAGUAAUACACUGCUGAGUCUCCUGCCUCCACAUUAGUAAUUAUUAACUGAUAAUCUGUGUUAC